rnacentral:misc_RNA from 1 species
GAUCAUUAACUAAAUGUAUCGGCACUUUACUGGGAGAGGGGGGGAUUCAUCCUCUCCUCCUGGUAUUGUUUGCUCCUAUACUGUGAAUCUCUGGCGAUGAAGGUUUCGGUUGUUGUUAUGAAUGAUGACUGAACCUUUGGGAGAGACUCAGGACAUAUAGGCUAUAAUGGGUAGGCCUGUUCUGGGGUUUGAUCGAUGCCAAUCAGGUGUGCCUUGUGUACACCUGGUACCCUUUGCCAUAUACUAUGAAUUCAGGAAUUUAAAAAGUUUAAAAAAAAAAACAACUUUUAACAAWGGAUYUYUUGGUUYUCSCAUCRAURAAGAACGUAGCAAAGUGCGAWAACUASKGKGAAUUGCAUAUUCGUGAAUCAUYRAGUYUUUGAACGCARCUUGCMCUYUAUGGAUYUUYUAUAVAGUACGCUUGYUUCAKUAUCAUAACAAAMCCMCACAUAAAAAUYUUUUUUUUUUUUAUGUGGUGAUGGGCAAGUUCGGCGGCCCAGUAAUAUUAUUAUUGCUUGCUGCUGAUUGCCUAAAAUACAGCCUCUUUGUAAUUCUCGCAUCGAAUUACGAACUACCUAGCCAUCGUGCCUUUUUUGGUCCAAAAAACCAAAAAAACGUAAACCUAGGGGGGUUCUGCCAGCCAGCAGAUAU